CGGGCGUGUCCCGCUGUUCCCUUCAGCAGCACCCGCAGUUCUGCCGCUCCGCUCCCCUUCCCCCGCCGGAGGUUGAACACAUAAAACACACCAUGAGAAAGCUCGAAGCUGACAUACGGAAGGCUUGGAGCAUCUUGCAUCUCUGACUGUGCUGAACUUCCUCCUGCCAGGAUUCCUCUGAAACUCUUGGGAAGUCCAGGUCCACCUUGGUUGUACGAAGUGCCAAGGCAUAGGAGAAACAGUCUAUUUGUUGGGUUAAGUCAGGCACAGUCCAUGGAAUUUGAGGUACUGCUUGAACAGCAGCAGGAUAACUCUUCAGGAAUCCUUUUAAUAAAAAGUCAGUUCAGAAGGGAAAGUGCUUUCAGAGCUUCAGAGGGAAGAAGAUGGGGAAUUCAAAAGUGAUCUCAUUAUCCUCUAUUGUGCAUUAACAAAACCCUGGCACUAGCGCAGCGAAUACAGAUGGACGUGAAAAUAAUUGCUUGGUGCAAGUCGGAUUUGGAUUUUUCCUCUCACUUUAUUAUCUGGAUGCUGAGGGGAAUAUUAGUGAGUUCUGCUGUGGGAAAGUAGGUCAACAUCAACCCUGGGACAGAGGGGAAAUGUGGUCAGAAAGUACAAGACUGACCCGCUUGUGGAUGGGCAACUGAAAGAAUGUGCUGAAAUGACAUCCAGAAUGAUUCCACAUCUCUUCCUCUGCUUGUGCCUUUGAAGAGCCUGGCAGUGAAGCAGCUGUGUAGGCAUAUGUCCUUUACAAUAAAAACGGAGGAAGAAACCCUGUAUUGAUUUAGACAAGUCAAAUGUUUCUGUUGCUGCAACUGUGCCAAUAAAAUCAAGACUAUUUCGGGA